GGGCCCCGCCUGUCAGGGCCCGCUAUCUUGGCCCACGUCUGUGUGCGGCCUGCCUUUUCUGGGGGCCCGUUUCCAGUGUGACGGGUCGUUGAAAUUUUUGGUAGGUUACAGGGAGCGGUCCAUGGCGGCUGCGCCGCGAGACCGGCGGCGAAGGGGCCGCGCUCCCGGGGCUGCCUCUGCCGCCGCUGCCGCGGAGGACGACGGGGAGGAGCACCACCUCAACCCCUUCCUCUCGGACGCGGCGCCGACGUCCUCGAGAGUCCAGUUCAGGAACGUGGCGUCGCGGGCGCGGUGGGUGGAGGAGGCCGGCGCGGCGGAGGUGUUGGACAGCAAGGGGAAGCUCUGGCUGACCACCGGCGUCACACGAGGCGGCAAGCUGUACUACAAUGUCGAGGAGAUCGGGUUUUUGGCAGAAAGAGGGGCAUUGAUUUUUCUCGAUGAUGAGGGUGGGACAAUAGGAAUGGAAGAAAUCUAUGGAAAGAUUGCAGGAGGAAAAUACGGGUGCUCCUGGGAUGCCUUCCAGGCUUACAAACACUUGAAGUUGCUUGGCUACAUUAUUGGACGCUAUGCUGUCCCCUGGACAAUGAAGAAUAACCCUACUUGUGAAACCACUGAUUCCCUGGAGCGUAUGCCUGACACUGACCAGAGCUUCAAUAGAGCCGACGGUGUCCACAACGGCAUCACGAAAUUACUCAAAGAAAUGCACAUAGAUGGGUUACAUCCAUCCUUCGAAGUGUAUCUACCAAAUAGCAAAUUCAGAAAGUCAUCCCCUGGAGCCCCUUGUUUCCUCCUAUCUAUGCUAAGAGACAAACCACCAUCAAGGGAUGAACUGGAAACUAUCGAAAGCAAGUGUGACGGCAUUCCUCUUAAAUUUUGUCAAGUUGAUAAUGGACGCGUCAGCUUUCUCUCCUUCGACAAAGUUCGACUUCCUAGUUUGCCCUGACAGAUAGCAGCGGAAAUGGUUGUUAUUUUUCACUUAUUCUGAACUUCUGAUCUUGUAAAGCAGCAAAUUGAUGAAUCGUUUCAAUGGACAACAAGCGUUUCUGUCGUGCUAAAACAUCGGCUUGUCUGCCCUCUUCUCGGGACCGAUAAAGUUGCCAGAUAGAUCUUCAGGUAAAAAAAGAAGGGUCUGCAGGGAUCUGUGGAAUCGUAUCCACUUCCACUAUUUGCUCUCCUUGUUUACUGUUUACAACUGAUGAUGUUGUUUGGGCUGGUGCAACAUCACCUUUGGGUUUUCUGACUUCAGGGAUAAUGCUUUGAUAUUUUUUCAUAGGGACUAGGUACUUUUUGGUGU